CAUCCAGACUCCUACGGGAGGCAGCAGUAGGGAAUAUUGCACAAUGGGGGAAACCCUGAUGCAGCCAUGCCGCGUGUGUGAAGAAGGCCUUCGGGUUGUAAAGCACUUUCAGUAGGGAGGAAGGUAGUGUAGUUAACACCUGCAUUAUUUGACGUUACCUACAGAAGAAGCACCGGCUAACUCCGUGCCAGCAGCCGCGGUAAUACGGAGGGUGCGAGCGUUAAUCGGAAUUACUGGGCGUAAAGCGCAUGCAGGCGGCCUGUUAAGUCAGAUGUGAAAGCCCCGGGGCUUAACCUCGGAAUUGCAUUUGAAACUGGCAGGCUAGAGUCUUGUAGAGGGGGUAGGAAUUUCAGGUGUAGCGGUGAAAUGCGUAGAGAUCUGAAGGAAUACCAGUGGCGAAGGCGGCCCCCUGGACAAAGACUGACGCUCAGAUGCGAAAGCGUGGGGAGCAAACAGGAUUAGAUACCCUGGUAG
rnacentral:rRNA from 1 species